rnacentral:rRNA from 1 species
AGCGAACGCUGGCGGCAGGCCUAACACAUGCAAGUCGAGCGCCCCGCAAGGGGAGCGGCAGACGGGAGAGUAACACGUGGGAACGUACCCUUUGGUUCGGAACAACACAGGGAAACUUGUGCUAAUACCGGAUAAGUCCGUAAGGAGAAAGAUUUAUCGCCAAAGGAUCGGCCCGCGUCUGAUUAGCUUGCUGGUGAGGUAACGGCUCACCAAGGCUACGAUCAGUAGCUGGUCUGAGAGGAUGAUCAGCCUCAUUGGGACUGAGACACGGCCCAAACUCCUACGGGAGGCAGCAGUGGGGAAUAUUGGACAAUGGGCGCAAGCCUGAUCCAGCCAUGCCGCGUGGAUGAUGAAGGCCUUAGGGUUGUAAAAUCCUUUCGGCGGGGAAGAUAAUGACGGUACCCGCAGAAGAAGCCCCGGCUAACUUCGUGCCAGCAGCCGCGGUAAUACAGAGGGUGCGAGCGUUAAUCGGAAUUACUGGGCGUAAAGCGCGCGUAGACGGUUUUGUAAGUCAGAUGUAAAUCCCUGGGCUCAACCUGGGAACUGCAUUUGAGACUGCA